GAUGAAGAACGUAGCGAAAUGCGAUAAGUAAUGUGAAUUGCAGAAUUCAGUGAAUCAUCGAAUCUUUGAACGCACCUUGCACCCUUUGGCAUUCCGAAGGGUAUGCUCGUUUGAGUGUCAUUGUACUCUCACACUUCUGAUCCUUUGGAUUGGGAGCGGUGGACUUGGGUGUUGCUGCUUUACUGUGGCUCACCUCAAAUGCAUUCGUGCAACUCUUGGUUGGACAUAGUACGGCGUGAUAAGUAUCUUCGCCGGCACCUCGCAAGAGGGUGGCUGAUCAGGAGCUCUGUGCUUUCCAACUGUCUUCAGACAACAACUGACAACUUGACCUCAAAUCGAGUAGGACCACCCGCUGAACUUAAGCAUAUCAAAAGCGGAGGA
rnacentral:misc_RNA from 1 species